CGUUGGAAUACUGAGGAGGGCUGCUCCUAGUACGAGAGGACCGGAGUGGACGAACCGCUAGUGUACCUGUUGUGUGGUCGCAUGCAUCGCAGGGUAGCUAUGUUCGGAAGUGAUAAGCCGCUGAACGCAUCUAAGCGCGAAGCACGCUCCAAGAUAAGUAUUCCCUAUGAGUCUCCCGGAAGACGACCGGGUAGAUAGGUGGCAGGUGUACGCAUGGUGACAUGUUUAGCCGAGCCAUACUAAUUAGACCAUUGGCUUUGUUUA
rnacentral:rRNA from 1 species